UUGUUUUGUUGUCAAUGAGCCACUAUGUUUUGAGGUUAUAAAAUCAGUUUUCUCGUAAAUUAUAUAUUAAUAUGGUAUUUACAAAGUUGAUUGAGUGCAAUAAUUAAAAAUAUAUCACGGCUUGCAUUUAAAAUUUCCAUGACACUCUACAUGAAUAAUCCCUUCAACAUGACUUUGCGGUGGUUAUUGCAUAAGAAGGUUGAGGAAAAUCUUGCAAAAUAUAUUUCCUCAAAAAUAUUCCUUACGACCGUCUGUUUUGUGUUUCGUUGUAGAGGAAAAUCUUGCAAAAUAUUUCAAGUGCACAAGGUGCAGACUUGAAAGAUUGUCUUGAACUACAGAUCAUGAUGUUGACAAAGAUAAGUGAGGUCACUAACACGCUGAGGCAAGAAAUGACCGACGUCAAGGCAGCCCGACAAGAGUACCUUAUUCGCCACUCCGUCUCUCGAGUUCCUGCGGCCGAAAUCGAAAUACGGCCUCACUUCAAUUCCUCUAAUGAACAAAAUUUUCUAUUUAUUACAUUUUUCCGUUCCAAACGA